AUGUACGGGUACCAACAACCCAAAAAUGCAUCCCGAUGGAUUCUUCCUCAAAGGAAAAAGAGGUUAGAUAAGGGGCCGGCUCCGGAUUCGCUAGAUGCCAAGGCUCAAAGGUUAGAAUAUGGUUCUGCUUUCAUCAAUGACAAGGCGGGAGAGGAAGCUCCCUCUACAAGCAGGGAUCCUUCUUCUCCUAUGGCUUGGUGGAAUGAUGUCGAUAUUGACACCCUCAUAUCAAAAUCUCUCACCUUCCUUUUUCAAAAGAGUUCCCUGCCGACUACUAGCCCUUUUUCUCUAAGUUGGUCUCAACCAUUAUGA